GGACUAUCGUUAGGAAGGAAAGCAUUAGCAGUCAGAAAGCUCAUUGCUAAAAGGACUUCAUAACAAUGCCAGAGAAACCAAGAUCUGAAUUCUUGGGAAUCCUUAAAAAGGAUGAAUCUUGGAUUUUCCCUGUUUGCUCCUCUCCUGACAAAUUCUGUGAUGGUUUUGCUCCCAACUGUUCCUGUGGUUCCUGUGUUCUUGUUUGCUUGACUUCAUCUGAUCUAAACACCCACACAGACUGAGCAAUCCACAAAA
rnacentral:lncRNA from 12 species